AGGGCGAAAUUAGUUGCAUGACAUAGACCCGAAACCGGGUGACCUAUCCAUGUCCAGGCUGAAGUGGAAGUAAAAUUCCAUGGAGGGCCGAACCGACCCCCGUUGAAAAGGUGGCGGAUGAGGUGUGGAUAGCGGAGAAAUUCCAAUCGAACCCGGAUAUAGCUGGUUCUCCUCGAAAUAGCUUUAGGGCUAGCCUCAUAAAAGAUUACCGGAGGUAAAGCACUGAAUGGUCUAGGGGCCGAGAGGUUACCGAAACCUAUCAAACUCUGAAUGCCGGAUAAUUGAUUUAUGGGAGUCAGACCGUGUGAGAUAAGUUUCACGGUCAAAAGGGAAAGAGCCCAGAUCCACAGCUAAGGUCCCAAAGUGCAUUUAAGUGGGAAAGGAUGUGGAACCGCUAAAACAACCAGGAUGUUGGCUUAGAAGCAGCCACACAUUCAAAGAGUGCGUAAUAGCUCACUGGUCGAGUGGUUCUGCGCCGAAAAUUUAACGGGGCUAAAAUGUACACCGAAGCUUGGGAUGCAGUUUAACUGCGUGGUAGAGGAGCGUCGUAUACGGGGUGAAGCAUGAGCGGAAGCGCGUGUGGACUGUAUAGGAGUGAGAAUGCCGGAAUGAGUAGCGAGAAUUAUGUGAGAAUCAUAAUGGCCGAAAGCCUAAGGUUUUAGGAGGAAGGUUCGUCCGCUCCUAGUAAGCCGGGAGCUAAGGUGAGGCCUAGCGGCGUAGCCGAUGCACAUACGGUGGAUAUUCCGUAGCCUCUCAAAGAUUUAAGCAAAGGGACACUCUGAAAGCGUCUGAGCCGGGCGAUGGUAGACCCGGUCGUAAGGGACUGAAACUAGUAGGGAAGCAGAUGUAGACGGAGGCGAGAAAAGCUUUGUGGAUAUCGAGAGAGCCCGUACCGCAAACCGACACAGGUAGGUAGGAAGAGAAUUCUAAGGCCAACGGGAGAAGGGUUGUUAAGGAACUCGGCAAGUUGACCCCGUAACUUCGGGAGAAGGGGUGCUCAUGCGAAUGAGCCGCAGAGAAUAGGCCCAGGCGACUGUUUAGCAAAAACACAGGUCUCUGCUAAAUCGAAAGAUGACGUAUAGGGGCUGACACCUGCCCGGUGCCGGAAGGUUAAGAGGAGAUGUGAGAGCAUUGAAUUGAAGCCCCGGUAAACGGCGGCCGUAACUAUAACGGUCCUAAGGUAGCGAAAUUCCUUGUCAGGUAAGUUCUGACCCGCACGAAUGGUGUAACGAUCUGGGCACUGUCUCAACAACCCGCCCGGCGAAAUUGUAGUACCGGUGAAGAUGCCGGUUACCCGCGACUAGACGGAAAGACCCCAUGGAGCUUUACUGUAGCUUAAUAUUGGAUUUCGGUAAAUGAUGUACAGGAUAGGUGGGAGACUAGGAAACCAGGGCGUCAGCUUUGGUGGAGUCGAUGUUGGGAUACCACUCUUUGUUUGCUGAAAUUCUAACCUGCGGCCGUGAAUCCGGUCGGGGGACAAUGUUAGGUGGGCAGUUUGACUGGGGCGGUCGCCUCCAAAAGAGUAACGGAGGCGCUCAAAGGUUCGCUCAGCAUGGACGGAAACCAUGCUCUUGAGUGUAAACGCAAAAGCGAGCCUGACUGCGAGGAUGACGGUCCGAGCAGAAACGAAAGUUGGAGUUAGUGAUCCGGCGGUAUGUGAGUGGAAAUGCCGUCGCUCAACGGAUAAAAGCUACCCUGGGGAUAACAGGCUGAUCUCCCCCAAGAGUCCACAUCGACGGGGAGGUUUGGCACCUCGAUGUCGGCUCAUCGCAUCCUGGGGCUGAAUUCGGUCCCAAGGGUUUGGCUGUUCGCCAAUUAAAGCGGUACGCGAGCUGGGUUCAGAACGUCGUGAGACAGUUCGGUCCCUAUCUGUCGUGGGCGCAGGAUAUUUGAGAGGCGCUGUCCCUAGUACGAGAGGACCGGGAUGGACGCACCUCUGGUGCACCAGUUGUCAGGCCUACUGGCACAGCUGGGCAGCUAAGUGCGGAACGGAUAAACGCUGAAGGCAUCUAAGCGUGAAGCCGCCCUCAAGAUAAGAUAUCCCACUGAGUUAAUCAGGUAAGACCCCUUGAAGACUACGAGGUUGAUAGGCUCAAGGUGUAAGCACAGUGAUGUGUUAAGCCAGCGAGUACUAAUCGGUCGAGGGCUUGACCUC
rnacentral:rRNA from 1 species